rnacentral:rRNA from 1 species
CGGAGGGUGCUAAGCGUUAUCCGGAUUCACUGGGUUUAAAGGGUGCGUAGGCGGGUAUGUAAGUCAGCGGUGAAAUCCCCGAGCUUAACUUGGGAACUGCCGUUGAUACUAUAUAUCUUGAAUGUCGUGGAGGUUAGCGGAAUAUGUCAUGUAGCGGUAAAAUGCUUAGAUAUGACAUAGAACACCCAUUGCGAAGGCAGCUAACUACGCGAAUAUUGACGCUGAGGCACGAAAGCGUGGGGAUCAAACAGGAUUAGAUACCCUGGUAGUCCACGCCCUAAACGAUGAUUACUCGACAUUGGCGAUACACUGUCAGUGUCUGAGCGAAAGCAUUAAGUAAUCCACCUGGGAAGUACGACCGCAAGGUUG